UACGGGGGGAGCAAGCGUUGCUCGGAUUUACUGGGCGUAAAGGGCGCGUAGGCGGUAGCACAAGUCAGUUGUGAAAUCUCCGGGCUUAACUCGGAAAGGUCAACUGAUACUGUGCGACUAGAGUGCAGAAGGGGCAACUGGAAUUCCUGGUGUAGCGGUGAAAUGCGCAGAUAUCAGGAGGAACACCGGUGGCGAAGGCGGAUCUCUGGGCCUUACCUGACGCUCAGGUGCGAAAGCUAGGGGAGCGAACAGG
rnacentral:rRNA from 1 species